CAUUUUGACGGUAACAUUAACAUUUUGAUUUUAACGUUAACGUUGAAUGAAUGAAUGAAUACAGAAAUAAAUGAAUGAAUAAAUAAAUGAAUGAAUGACUGAAUAAAUAAAUGAAUGAAUACAGAAAUAAAUGAAUGAAUACAGAAAUAAAUGAAUUAAUGAAUAAAUAAAUGAAUACAGAAAUAAAUACGUACAUAAAUGUAAAUUAUACGUAACUAUUGAUUGACAAUUGUGCAUUAAUUAAUACAUGUAUUCAUUUAUUUCUGUCUAAAUGCAUGGAUGUGGACAUUUAUUUAUUCAUUCAUUCAUUUAUAAAUAUGGCAGGUCCUUCCCUUUCUAUGACCAAAUUAUUAUGCAUAGGCCUAACUAAUACUCAUACUAAUGCAUUAGAGUUAAAACAAAGCCACAAAAUCAAGCAAAAUCGAAAAUUUUCUAUUUUACAAAGCUACCUACAAAGCAUAGACUACUUUCACAAUGUUGCUUUAAAGACUUUUUUAAAGUCUCUAUCUUUUCUGGUUAUUUGCAGAUGAUGUACCGCUUGUUUUCCGCCUUGGGUGUUCUAUUCGGAAUGGCCUCAGCGGACGGCUCUUAUGGCUUAGGGCCGGAGCCAAAGAGGAUAUGUCCUGGGAUGCCAUUCACUUUUACACUGACAUAUAGGAUAAGCGGAGCAGACCUGAUGUUCUACAAGAACGGGGUCGAGAGGAAGGUUGCCACUACCAAGGAGAUUAUAGACCCCCAGUUUCGGCUCAAUGGCAGUGAACCUUAUUUACCCGAGGUCAUGAAAACGCAUGAAGGGAAGUAUUAUUGGAAGGCUCCAUCGGUCGAUUUUGAACUGAAUUACAUCAGACUAAUUCUGAAAGGUGAGUAUGUUGUGAAAUGUCAUCUCUGAAAGGGUAUCAAUGUUUUGUACAUUGAGAUAUUUUACAUACUUAGCUUUGCUCCCUUUGUACUCUCUACCUCUGUCUAUCUAUCUAUCUAUCUGUCUAUCUAUCUGUCUAUCUGUCUAUCUUUCUGUCUGUCUGUCUGUCUAUCUAUCUAUCUAUCUAUGCAUAUAUAUAUUUAUUAGACUGCAGUGUUCGUCAAAAUGUGGUGUACGGUGAGGAGUUGGCCUUAAAUGUGCCGGCGGACGCGUCUGUGUUGGAGUUCACCCCUCACCUCUCAGACCAACACUCCGUCCUGUGGAGACGGAUACACAGAGGGGGGGACGAGGAAGCAAGGGGCGCGGUUAAGGACGGCCGCUGGACAGCACAGAGGAUGACCCAAGCGGAUCAGGGGCGCUACACUUUACUCAGGGAGAGUGGUGGCCAGAUCUCCAGCACUGUGGUCUCUGUUGAAGGUAAGAGCAAUGAAGCGCGUGCUGAGAAUAUGGGACAGAUGAUUGCCAGAAUAGUAAAAGAAGACAAGGUGUUGCCAUAUUUCUCUGUAAGUAAGUAACUUCUACUUCUGGUUUAUAUAGGUUGAGAUAACUUUCAAAAAAGAUUCACAAGGUGAACUGAUUUGUGAAUAUCACAAAUAAUAUGAUUCAAAUAUCUCCCAUCCUUCAUUUGUGCAAUCACUUGUCUUCAUUGAUUAGAGGAAAACUAUGCCACAUAUAUUAUAUGCCGUUUGACAUGUUUAAUGAGAUACAGGAAUUGCUUUGCUUUGAAGAGUACAUUUUAGCACCCCCCUUUUUCAAGCAUGUUCACCUCAAUUUCACAUUUGUUUAUGAUUUCCUACACUUCCCAGAAUGCAUUUCAACCACUACUAGCUAA
ensembl:lncRNA